rnacentral:rRNA from 1 species
AACGGCGUCGAGCGGCGGACGGGUGAGUAAUGCCUAGGAAAUUGCCCUGAUGUGGGGGAUAACCAUUGGAAACGAUGGCUAAUACCGCAUGAUGCCUACGGGCCAAAGAGGGGGACCUUCGGGCCUCUCGCGUCAGGAUAUGCCUAGGUGGGAUUAGCUAGUUGGUGAGGUAAGGGCUCACCAAGGCGACGAUCCCUAGCUGGUCUGAGAGGAUGAUCAGCCACACUGGAACUGAGACACGGUCCAGACUCCUACGGGAGGCAGCAGUGGGGAAUAUUGCACAAUGGGCGCAAGCCUGAUGCAGCCAUGCCGCGUGUGUGAAGAAGGCCUUCGGGUUGUAAAGCACUUUCAGUCGUGAGGAAGGUAGUGUAGUUAAUAGCUGCAUUAUUUGACGUUAGCGACAGAAGAAGCACCGGCUAACUCCGUGCCAGCAGCCGCGGUAAUACGGAGGGUGCGAGCGUUAAUCGGAAUUACUGGGCGUAAAGCGCAUGCAGGUGGUUUGUUAAGUCAGAU